GAUGAACGCUAGCUACGGGCUUAACACAUGCAAGUCGAGGGGUAACGAGAGGAAAGCUUGCUUUCCUCGUCGACGACCGGCGCACGGGUGAGUAACGCGUAUCCAACCUGCCCCCAACUAAGGAAUAACCUUGCGAAAGUAAGACUAAUACCUUAUAAUUUCCUCAGAUGACAUCUGACGAGGAAUAAAGAUUUAUCGGUUGUGGAUGGGGAUGCGUCUGAUUAGCUUGUUGGCGGGGUAACGGCCCACCAAGGCAACGAGCAGUAGGGGUUCUGAGAGGAAGGUCCCCCACAUUGGAACUGAGACACGGUCCAAACUCCUACGGGAGGCAGCAGUGAGGAAUAUUGGUCAAUGGGCGGAAGCCUGAACCAGCCAAGUAGCGUGCAGGAUGACGGCCCUAUGGGUUGUAAACUGCUUUUAUACAGGAAUAAAGUUAGCCACGUGUGGUUAUUUGUAGGUACUGUAUGAAUAAGGACCGGCUAAUUCCGUGCCAGCCGCCGCUGUAA
rnacentral:rRNA from 1 species